AUGUCCCUGAUCUCUCUCAUCAUCUCAUAUCUGACCUCCUCACUAGGGAAAUAAUCGGCAGGGGUUAUCUGAGGGGUCGACUAUUUCAUCUGGAUUGCAUGUUCGCCGGAAUGAAGCCGGAGAAGGCAGUUCAAGCAGCUUUGAUUUCGACUGGGGUUACUAAUCAAGUUGAAGAAUUAUGGUUAUGGCAUCGGAGAUUGGGACAUCCUUCCUUUAGUGUCAUGAAGAAAUCUAUGCCAUCUUUGUUUUUGGGCAUUCAUGAGUCUAAGUUGCAUUGUGAGUCAUGUGUCUUAAUUAAAAGUCAUCGUACUAGUUAUCCUUUGAGUACUACUAGGAG
rnacentral:lncRNA from 1 species